UACGGAGGGGGCUAGCGUUGUUCGGAAUUACUGGGCGUAAAGCGCACGUAGGCGGCUUUGUAAGUUAGAGGUGAAAGCCCGGGGCUCAACUCCGGAACUGCCUUUAAGACUGCAUCGCUUGAAUUGUGGAGAGGCGAGUGGAAUUCCCAGUGUAGCGGUGAAAUGCGUAGAUAUUGGGAGGAACACCAGUGGCGAAGGCGGCUCGCUGGACCGGUUCUGACGCUGAGGCGCGAAAGCGUGGGGAGCAAACAGG
rnacentral:rRNA from 1 species